rnacentral:rRNA from 1 species
AGUGAACGCUGGCGGUAGGCCUAACACAUGCAAGUCGAACGGCAGCACAGUAAGAGCUUGCUCUUACGGGUGGCGAGUGGCGGACGGGUGAGGAAUACAUCGGAAUCUACUUUUUCGUGGGGGAUAACGUAGGGAAACUUACGCUAAUACCGCAUACGACCUACGGGUGAAAGCAGGGGAUCUUCGGACCUUUCGCGAUUGAAUGAGCCGAUGUCGGAUUAGCUAGUUGGCUGGGUAAAGGCCCACCAAGGCAACGAUCCGUAGCUGGUCUGAGAGGAUGAUCAGCCACACUGGAACUGAGACACGGUCCAGACUCCUACGGGAGGCAGCAGUGGGGAAUAUUGGACAAUGGGCGCAAGCCUGAUCCAGCCAUACCGCGUGAGUGAAGAAGGCCUUCGGGUUGUAAAGCCCUUUUGUUGGGAAAGAAAAGCAGCAGGUUAAUCCCCCGCUGUCCUGACGGUACCCAAAGAAUAAGCACCGGCUAACUUCGUG